rnacentral:rRNA from 1 species
GAUGAACGCUGGCGGCGUGCUUAACACAUGCAAGUCGAACGGUGAACGAGGGAGCUUGCUCCCUCCGGAUCAGUGGCGAACGGGUGAGUAACACGUGAGCAAUCUGCCCUGGACUCUGGGAUAAGCGUUGGAAACGACGUCUAAUACCGGAUACGAGGCGUGGGGGCAUCCCCAACGCCUGGAAAGAACUUCGGUCCAGGAUGAGCUCGCGGCCUAUCAGGUAGUUGGUGAGGUAAUGGCUCACCAAGCCUACGACGGGUAGCCGGCCUGAGAGGGUGACCGGCCACACUGGGACUGAGAUACGGCCCAGACUUCUACGGGAGGCAGCAGUGGGGAAUAUUGCACAAUGGGCGAAAGCCUGAUGCAGCAACGCCGCGUGAGGGACGACGGCCUUCGGGUUGUAAACCUCUUUUAGCAGGGAAGAAGCGAAAGUGACGGUACCUGCAGAAAAAGCACCGGCUAACUACGUGCCAGCAGCCGCUGUAAUAC